GACGAACGCUGGCGGCGUGCUUAACACAUGCAAGUCGAGCGGUAAGGCCCUUUCGGGGGUACACGAGCGGCGAACGGGUGAGUAACACGUGGGUGACCUGCCCUUAGCUCUGGGAUAAGCCUGGGAAACUGGGUCUAAUACCGGAUAUGACUCCAUGACGCAUGUUGUGGGGUGGAAAGCCUUGUGCGGCUAGGGAUGGGCCCGCGGCCUAUCAGCUUGUUGGUGGGGUGAUGGCCACCAAGGCGACGACGGUAGCCGGCCUGAGAGGGCGACCGGCCACACUGGGACUGAGACACGGCCCAGACUCCUACGGGAGGGCAGCAGUGGGGAAUCUUGCGCAAUGGGCGAAAGACCUGACGCAGCGACGCCGCGUGAGGGAUGACGGCCU
rnacentral:rRNA from 1 species